AUCCUUUUAUAGUUCAUAAGCAUGAUGAUUGGGUGUUCACGGGGCCGCGUGACGUGUGCCUCCCUCAAUCCUUGUUACGACAGUGGCACAUUACCCGUCCGACG
rnacentral:snoRNA from 1 species